ACGACGGGUGGCAGCAGUGGGGAAUAUUGGACAAUGGGCGAAAGCCUGAUCCAGCCAUGCCGCGUGUGUGAAGAAGGCCUUCGGGUUGUAAAGCACUUUCAGUGGGGAAGAAAGCCUUGGGGCUAAUACCCUCGAGGAAGGACAUCACCCACAGAAGAAGCACCGGCUAACCCCGUGCCAGCAGCCGCGGUAAUACGGAGGGUGCGAGCGUUAAUCGGAAUUACUGGGCGUAAAGCGCGCGUAGGCGGUCUGAUAAGCCGGUUGUGAAAGCCCCGGGCUCAACCUGGGAACGGCAUCCGGAACUGUCAGGCUAGAGUGCAGGAGAGGAAGGUAGAAUUCCCGGUGUAGCGGUGAAAUGCGUAGAGAUCGGGAGGAAUACCAGUGGCGAAGGCGGCCUUCUGGACUGACACUGACGCUGAGGUGCGAAAGCGUGGGUAGCAAACAGGAUUAGAUACCCGAGUAGUC
rnacentral:rRNA from 1 species